GAUGAACGCUGGCGGCGUGCCUAAUACAUGCAAGUCGAGCGAAUGGAUUAAGAGCUUGCUCUUAUGAAGUUAGCGGCGGACGGGUGAGUAACACGUGGGUAACCUGCCCAUAAGACUGGGAUAACUCCGGGAAACCGGGGCUAAUACCGGAUAACAUUUUGAACCGCAUGGUUCGAAAUUGAAAGGCGGCUUCGGCUGUCACUUAUGGAUGGACCCGCGGCGCAUUAGCUAGUUGGUGAGGUAACGGCUCACCAAGGCAACGAUGCGUAGCCGACCUGAGAGGGUGAUCGGCCAUACUGGGACUGAGACACGGCCCAGACUCUAACGGGAGGCAGCAGUAGGGAAUCUUCCGCAAUGGACGAAAGUCUGACGGAGCAACGCCGCGUGAGUGAUGAAGGCUUUCGGGUCGUAAAACUCUGUUGUUAGGGAAGAACAAGUGCUAGUUGAAUAAGCUGGCACCUUGACGGUACCUAACCAGAAAGCCACGGCUAACUACGUGCCAGCAGCCGCAGUAA
rnacentral:rRNA from 1 species